GCGGGAUGGAGCAGUCUGGUAGCUCGUCGGGCUCAUAACCCGAAGGUCGUUGGUUCAAAUCCAG
rnacentral:tRNA from 28 species